CCCUUAUUCAAAAUUCAUUUCAAGAUGGUGAUGACGGCAUUCGGCCACACACGGGGUCCGUCUAAAUGUGAGGCACAGGUUGCACAUGAAGCAGGCCCUGGAGGAAGCACAGCACCAGGCCAAAGUGGAGCCAGUUGCAUGGAACAGGGGCAGGAAGAGGGCUGGGGGUUCUUGGCAGGAACAGUUCUGAAUCUGUCCUCACGCAUGUUGGAUUCUUCCUUCUGUUGGACACUGACAUGCCCUUUCAGUGGUAUCCAAAGCUGGCUGGGCGUUGUAACUGUUCUAAAUAUGCAUGACUGGUCUACAAAUUAAAGAAUUAUCAUUUUUUUGAAACAUUUUAAGAAAGUUCUGACAUUUUAAAUCCAUUCACAUAAUCUCAAGGAAUUUCACCAGUGCAAUUGACAGUGUAGGAAAGGAAGAGCUAUUAGUUUCUUUAUAUAUGACUGAAAUAUUGCAAAAUUUGGAAUGGUUUCAAAAAUUUUUUUGCUUUCAUUUUUAUCACUUGUGUGAACAAAGGUCAUUGUUAGUGAUGACUAUCAAGAAUUUGAUUUAAAAGUCUUGAUAGGAUUAAAGUCUUCAUCAGGAGUUGCUAUUUCAAGCAUAAAAUCUGAUAUCAAAAACUGUAUUCAAAAAAGCAAAUACAAAUUGCUCUUAAAAUUAAAGAUUAUGUUAAUCUUCUAUACAAAUUUUAUGCAAAUUCCACAUGUAAUAUAUUACCUAAAUUUUGAUGUCUGUUUUCUUAUAUAAUAAAAAGAAUAAUGAAGGCUUUUGCUGUGCCCACUAUAGAUGCCCAAGUCCCCUCACAUUUACCCCAGUAUGUACUUUAAAAUAUUGUAAUUUUCUAUGAGUGAAGUGAGAAAUGUUGGAAGUAGCAGUCUAGCUAGCAGCUCUGCCAGGGAGUCUGAAGCAAGUCAUCUGCUUUUGCCCACUGGUGGUAGCAGCAGUUGUUGGGAUUUGACUUGAAAAAUCAAGGCAUGACUGAAACAGGAUUCAACCAUGGUGGCCAUUAACAGUCCUUUAUAGAGCUGUUGGAAUGAUCACAUGCGAUAUUGCAUGAAAAAUGCUCAGAACAAUACCUGGAACAUAGGAAAUAUUCAGUGAAUGCCAGUUACUGUUAUUUGACACCUUGGAUAACUAGUAAGUUGACAAAUUCUGUUGAUUCUAUGUCCAAAAUGCCUGAGCUCUGUUCUUUACUUUCCAUUCCUGUUGUUCAACCCCAGCAUGUUUAGCAUUUUAUCACUGCUCAUCUGAAAGUUAUAUUAGCCUCUUAAUUUGUCUUUCAACUUCCAGUGUCUUCAUUGUUGACCCAUGUGGUUCAGUUAAGACACUUUAGGCAGCAAGUAACAGCAUAUUCACCUUAAAUGUAUUCUUUCAUAUAUUCAGACAUCCAACGUUUCCAGCAUUGGUUCAGCAACUAGACAAUAUUAGGCCUCAGGUUUAGGGAAUGUGUGUGUUUGGGGGGAGGUAUGCGAAGGGGCUUUGUUUGUUUUGUCUUCUCCCUCAUUGUCUCAAUAUGGCUGCUAUGGCUCCAAGUAGCACCACCACUCAUGAUGACAUCCAAAAGCAUGGAGGAAAGGAGAGUUCACCUUGUGUAUCUCUUUUCCCACAGUGGAAAAUUCUUCCAGAAAGCCUCUCAGAGUUCCUCAGAACACAGCUACCUUAAAACAAUCAUAUACAAUCAUAAUAAUUGGUUUAGACUUCUCAUCAUAUAUCUCAGGGCCUCGGCCUAUAUUCCCUGUGUAUAGCACUAGUCCUAUACCCAAACAGAACUGGUAUCCCAAUAGCCAGGAAGAAUAAUGGCUGUUGGGUAAAUAACCAGCAAUUUCAGCCAGUCCUUCCUGCACACCACUGGCAGGUUCAUCAGGAAUUUCCUGCUUGAACAAGAACUCGCAGCCUGAUGGGUAAAGUCCCAGCCCCUUCACCUGGAAUUAAAUGUCUGGUCCAUAAUGUAGCUGAUGAGGUCACAUUUCACCAGCAAAAUGCCCUUGGAAUAUCCUAUAAUUUUCCUUAAUAGCUCCUUAUCGUCUUUGUAAUUACACAUGAUUUUAGGGAAGACUGUGACUAGUAUUUCUGCCCAACCAGCUCCGCAGCGUAAAUGCCAUGGACCAUGUCUGCUUUGUUCACCAUUACGUUCAACACCUAACAAUUCUUGGACACAGACUAUUCAUAACUAUUUGUUGAGUGAGUGAAUGUCUAUAACUGCCAAAGGUAGCAAGCAGCAUUUUCAACAGUUAGAUAUUUAAUCUGGCAAAAACAGGUUUCUAUGUAGCUAUCAAAAGAGGCUGAAAGAAUUUGGUAUCUCAACAUCACCAACAUUUUGUUAAAGGACUAAUUGCCAAGCCCUGCGUGCACGUGGGACCAUUAGUAAUUCUGUAGCUAUGCAAAUUAAAACAGUGAUGUAUGAUUUAUAGCUUUAAUAACAUUCUGAAGGCUCUUAAAUUUUAAUCACUUGCAACAUCCUUUUUAAUAUUCAAUUACUUUAUUAACUAAUUAGGUCACUUGCUGAAAAAGCACAUAAGGCUGGUGCUAUUUUAAUAUCAGCUGAGCCUCACAAAAUACCUUUGAAAUGGUGCAAAUGGUUUAUUUAUUUUAAACAGAUCAUUAAGAUGCUAUAAUUAAUAAACCAAUUACAAAAAAAAGGCCCGAUAGUGAUAGAUGCACAAGUACAAUAGCAGUGUCCAAUGGAUUAGUCAUUUUUACACACAUACAUCAAGGGGCAAAACUUAAAUGAAAACACACUGUAAAAAGUGCUUUCCUAAAUAAUUAAUUUGUGCAAUGACUGAUAACCCUAUCACGGCAAACCUGACUUGAGGCUUGUUCAUUACGCAAACCUGUAAUAUGUACUUUCGUUUCAUCUAAUGACACUCAUGAUAGAAAAGCCACAGCACGCUAAGCUUGGGAUUCCUUGAUUACUUACAAGGGCCUUAAUUUGCAGACGGUGCUAGGCUUUUCACAACUUAUCAGUGCGCCGAAGUGAGCCGAGCCUCCCAGAGGAGGAUCAGGAGACACACGCAGGGUCGGCAGCAUCCCUGCUUAUUGAUUUCUCAGCACCGUGUUAAGGUCUUCAAAGCAAACGGUGUGGACAAAGAGCGGAGGCCAAGCGUGUGGUGCUGUCUCACCCAAUGUUCUCAAAGACUGUGGAUCACAGCACUAAGUCUGCAUUUCCUAGGCACAGAGAUGUUGGAACUAUGACUGAGGGUGGGUAAGACACAGCUCUCAGGCUUGGGGUGGAAUCUUAUUUUUAGGAACAGGGUGAGGCAAGAAGAACCAGAUCCUUUUGCUGGCCUGGGAAAGAACACCAUCCAAUUGCAGUCAUUUUUUUCUAGUCAGCAUCAAUUUGGUCAUUUUUCUGGGUACCAAAAUUAUAAUAAAAAAAAUCAUCGAACUACUGUGUAUUGAGUCUUUACUGUCUACUUCCUGUUCACUGCUUGUGUUACCUAUUGUCUAUUUCAGGAUAUUUGCUGACUCAACAUUUAUCAGCUGAGCACCUCCUUCAACCAGGCACCUUUCUAGGCACUGGAGAUCCUGGGAUGAACAUGAAUAGGGCAGACAAGUCCCCUGCUCUCAUGGUGUUUACAUUCUAUUAGGGAAGAGAGACGCAAAUCAUACAUUGCAAGGAAACAAAAGAUAAACAACCACUUUAGACAGUACAAAGUGCUAGGAAAAGAAUUAAUCAGGAUAAUGGGACAGUGUGAUGGAGGGUAACUAGGGCAGGUCUUUGCAACUAAGUCAUCGGGGAAGGCCUCUCUGAGGAAAGUAACAUGGCACAUAGGCCGGAAGGUCUUCAGCAACUCAGAGUUCAUUCCUUUCCAUGUUUCACCAGUUUUCUGCUUGGUGUCCUUCUCAAGUCAGUGCAGGUGAAUGGAGAAGGCAACCAGGGAGACAGUGAUGCAGAGUGGGAGUGACAGUGGCAGGUAAGAGAGGCUGAAGGCAAGCAAGAGAUGACAUCAUUAUGCUGCCAUCAUUAUUACUAUUCUUUUGCAAAGGUGGGCCCUCUUUUGCAGUCAGACCCCAGUAUGAACUUCUGUGCAUUUUGUUGCGUGUCACUGGUAGGUGAGAAACCACAGAGAGACCAAUGUCUCUUUCCUUAAGUCUUCCUGCCAAUGUACUGUUCUGGGUGUGGUGACGGCUAUGUUUUAUGAAUCUCCAGUCUGUUUUAGCUCCUUCAUGACGUGUUGAUAAAACUUUUAAGAUGUUCAUAAAUUUCCACAUUGUACCAUGGAUGCUAAGUUCUUUGGGAAGAGCAACCUACCCCAAACAAUAUAAAUCUGAGGUGCAUACUACUCAAAUACAUGGAAAAAAUUUUCGUCCUGCCUGGGUCCCUAAGGAAAAACCUUAGAAAGGGCCUUCAUAAUCUCUGUCAAUUGUGAGCUAAAGUGUUCCAACAAAGUAGAACUGUUACUGAAAGUAGAGUCUGGCUACUCACUACUCUAAAGCCAAUUAAGAGGCAAGGUUGGUGGAAAGGAAAGUUUGCUUUAUCUCAGAUGCUGGCAAGCAGCGGGGAGGGUGGACUUCGGUCUCAAGGGCUGACUCCCCGACAGAGUCAGUGGGGGAGAGCUUUUAUAGGUGGAGAAAAGUGGCUACAUGCAGAAACAGCACGGUCUGCUCUGACAGUCAUCUUGAAAUUGGACAUGGAGUGGUCUGAUCAAUGUCAUCUUGAUUGUUUAAGUACAGUUGACCUUCAGUUCCAGGGUCAGUUUGUUCCCAUUUCCUUGAGACCAUUCCUCGGAAAUGUGGCAUCUUAUGUCAUGGCCACUGUCUGGUCAUCAUGUAGUCAACUUCUUCCAUUCGUUGGGGGUUUCAGUAUCUAUAAGACAGCUCAGAGGAUACAACUCAGAAUAUCAUCUGGAGUUCCUGUUGUGGUGCAGUGGAAAUGAACCCAAAUAGGAACCAUGAGGUUGCAGGUUCGAUCCCUGGCCUCACUCAGUGGGUUAAGGAUCCAGUGUUGCCAUGAGCUGUGGUGUAGGUCACAGACGUGGCUUGGAUCUGGUGUUGCUGUGGCUCUGGCGUAAGCCAGUGGCUGCAGCUCUCAUUAGACCCCUAGCCUGGGAACUUCCAUAUGCCACGAGUGCAGCCCUAAAAAGG
rnacentral:lncRNA from 1 species